UACGAAGGGUGCUAGCGUUGUUCGGAAUUACUGGGCGUAAAGCGCGCGUAGGCGGCCAUUCAAGUCAGAGGUGAAAUCCCCGGGCUUAACCUGGGAACUGCAUUUGUGACUGCAUCGCUGGAGUGCGGCAGAGGGGGAUGGAAUUCCGCGUGUAGCAGUGAAAUGCGUAGAUAUGCGGAGGAACACCGAUGGCGAAGGCAAUCCCCUGGGCCUGCCACUGACACUGAGGCACGAAAGCGUGGGAGCAA
rnacentral:rRNA from 1 species